AGUAGCAGUAGCAAUAACGAUAAACAUGAACGAAGGACCCAACAUUAAUUAAAGUCCACAACUUUUCCGUUCCUCAGUCCAAUAACAAAAUCAAAGGGCAUGAUUAUUGAUCAACAAUCACCAAAAUGAAAAGAGAAAGUAAAUUAGGCGGUGAGCUCUUCCUCCUUGUGGGUCUCAAUGGUGACAUCGGAAGAAGGGUAGGCGACGCAGGUCAAGGCCCAACCUUCAGCGAGCUGUUCGUCGUCGAGGAAGCUCUGGUCAGACUGGUCAAGUGAACCGGCGACGACUUUGCCGGCGCAGGAGGAGCAGGAGCCAGCCCUGCAAGAGUAAGGCAAGUCAAUGCCUUCCUCCUCGGCUUGGUCAAGAAUGUAGACGUCGUCUGGG
rnacentral:lncRNA from 1 species